UCAAAUGCAUCGUUAUACAGUAAAUUGUGGCCAAAUUACGAACCUAGUCGUCAAUGUUUAUUUGAAAUUAAAAAUAUACCCUCCUUCCUUAGGGAGGCCAAGCCCAUAUCCGUUAUUUUCUAUGAAGCCGAAGGACAUAACUGGAAAUUGCAAUGACUAUAAAUCCCCGAUAUCGAACAAAGGCACACCAAAAUUGGGGAUCUGAAGAUGAUGCUCGGAAAAACAAAGGAGGCUCCGGCGAGAGAGACGGGAAGUUUCGAAAGGGUGGUUGCCCCUCUCUUGCCAACCCAUAAUCGGAUCUGAUCCGAUCAUGUUGAGCCGGUGAGUCUAUCCCCUCUUUCGUCAUAAAACAACAGCCCUUGAAAAAAAUAAAAAUAAAUAAAUAAAUAUAUAUAUAUAUAUAUAUAUAGAAAAGGUUCUUUUUUUCAUAAUCAUAGCUCUACAUUUUUUGAAAUGAGGAGAAUUGUGAGCAAUGACAUUGGAUAAAAGAUGUUGUGUACAAAUUACUUCCCAUAAAGAAAAAAGGUCUAUUGUGUUUUUGUGUGUUUAUAUAUGUAACUGCGAUGGUAUUUUGAGAUGGCGAUGAUAUUUGAUUUCUGUAAGGAUUGUUAUCCGGGCAUCAUUAAUCGGGCACAGGGUGAAACUCGGCCCGUAUCUUGGCGGGGCAACCCGGAUGGCAUGCUUACGUGCAACCGGUGUUGCAGCCAUGGCGGUGUCCGACCCCUUUGUUUGACUUCAACUUACAGAUCUGAGCCUAAUUCUCUUCACUUGAUUUUUCAAAUGCUUUAAUUUUGUAAUUCAUUAUGUUUUAAAUUACUCCUUUUCCAAAGAGUAUUUUUAUCUAAACAUAAUACAAACAUGUCAAACUAAUAAAAAUAAAAGUAAUUGCUCCAGCUUACAACUUUUUUUUUUUUUUUUUUUUUGUUAUGACAUGCCCAUAUUUAGUUUUUUCAAUAAAAUUUUAUUUUGCAUCAAGAUAAAAGUGCAUGCAACACCAUAUCAUCUAUAAUUAUACAUGCAUUUUAACAUUCCGUUUUUAGGGGUUUACUUUGUAUGAAGUUGAUAAUAGUUACUUUGUAUGAAGUUGGAAAAUACAAAUUUAUAGUAAAAGUUGUAAAAUGGUUAUGAAGUUGAUAAUAGUUAAGAUAAUUUGAUAACAUGUGAAGAAAUGUUUUUUUGUACACAAAGUAUCAUACUAUAGUUAAAAUUCUGAUUCUCAUUACAAUGUUGGUAUCUCUUAAAUGCUUUAAAGUUCUAAAAUACUGUAAAAAUACAUCAAAAUGGUAUUUUAGAUUUUUUAUAGUAAAGUAAUUUGUCAACUUAAAUAAAUUUAGUAUAAAGACUAAUUGUAUAACGGUAUAAUGUGGCGAGGCAUAAAGUGUUAUUGAUCGGCUUUGCAUUUGUUGGAUAUGUGUUGAUAUGCUGAUCAAAUGUGAAGAAAUUGAAAGCGAAUUUUGUGUUUGUUGUUGCGUUUAGUAUCAUUUUGAAUUCAUUAUAGUCCAUUUAGCAGGCGUCCAUUCAGAUCAUUUUUGUUGCUUGAACUCCUUUCGAAACUUCAUAGUUUGUAUCAAUCUCUCACUUUAGGUCUUCUUCCUUUGAAGAAAAAUACUUCCAAGUUUUUUAACAUACAUUGAUAAUAAAUGGAUGCAAUACAAGUCUAAAUGUAAAUUCCUUAAAAUUGAAGUAAACCAUUGUUACCCAAUGACUAGACAAUAAAAUGACAACAUCAAGUGCCUUUUGUUCCUGAAGAGAAUGUCAUUUUGCCCCCCAUCAAAAUAAACCACAACAACGAAUAAGACAACAUCAACCUUUUUUUAUUUUUACCUAAAUUACAUCCAUCAAGCAUUCCUAGCAAAGUCGAGCAAGAAGAGGGAAGACACUUGAAGAUUUUUGACCAUUUCAACACACCAAAAUUGCAGGAAAAGAAAGAAAAGAUGGUCAAUGCUUUCAUCCAUUCUUGCAAACAGGGCAAAUAGUGGAAACCACUCCAAUCCUACGACGAACCAGAUUAGGAGGGGUAAAGAAUGUGAUGUUGAAACAAGCGCCAAAUAAAAAAGUUAAUUUUAAGAGGCAGCCAAUUAACCCAUUGAAAUUUUAUAAAUAUGAAAAUGAUGGAGGUUUGAAGAACAUUCAACAAAACCAUGCACCACUAUCAACAAACAUUGACCACCAAAUACUACCACCAUCAAUCUCCUGUCAUCAUACCUAUUAACCAAAAGACCAUUAAACAAAAUUCAACCUAGAAACAAUAUCUGUAAAGAUACAAAGACUUGCAUAUUUUUGACAUAAAAAAAACCAUUUAAUAAUCUCAAUAGUUCAGUCACAAAACCACCAACACAAAAAAAAUGCUGAAUUGCUUCGAGAUAUGCAUGAUAACUCCAUAUUCUUGUUGUUAGAACAACAUAAAAAUCAAAUCAAAUGAUCAACAAAACCUAAAACCCCAUAAAACUCCACAAUAAAACAAGCAUGUAAAUAUAAUUCAAGUGAUUAUAUUGAUUAAAAGUUGAAAAAACAUCAUAAUAGUGAUCUAAACAAACAAUUCAUUAGUUUUGAGGCCAUUAGGGUGGUGGGUCUGGAGAGAUUGUAGCUCCGAUGGUCGCCAUUGAAAAUUCUAUCCUUCUUAAAAAAUCUCACAAAAAAUGUGAAAAAAAUGUUUGAGGAACAUUAUCAAGAAUAAUGAUGGGUAUAUGAGAUUUAGGUUAUCAAUCUCUUGAAGCAGUUCAACCUGCCGCCGACAGCUUCAACUUGCUGACAACCUCCGACCCGUUGUUGACACCAUCGAUUUCUAAAAACCCACCACCGGUUAGGUCUGCCAACAUUGAGAUGAAGAAAUAACUCCAUUCUCAUGAUUCUAUUUACCAGCUUCAUCCUUUCCAACAAUGAAAUCAAAAUCAUUUUCCAAACAAGAUGCAUAAACAACUCUAUCGUAUCCACAGAUGAAAUCAAACCUAAUAAGCAAAGCUUGAAGUCUAACUUGCCAUAUGGCGCACCCUUUUCCCUUCUUCUGGUCCUUCACCUCCGGCGCACCAUCACCCCUCUGAGGAGGUAGCGAUGAGGAAUUUAGUGAAAAAAUAAAUCAAGGUAGGAUGGAUUUAGAUGUUGAAGGAAAAUGAUCGAUGUCUCAUAUAGGCAGACAGGGAUGAUGGACUUCGACAUAAUGGCAGUGGAUCUCAGACAAUUGUUUGGCAACAUGUGUCGGUGAUGCAGGUCGUUGGUGACAGUGGAAGGAGAUAGUUGAAGAAGAAGGGGCUGAAAGAGGUCGUAACUUUGCUUAUGUUUUAUGAAAAAUUAUUAUUUAUUUAUUUAUUAAUAUAUAAAUUAUAAAUUUAGUUAUAAAAGAAAUAUGUAAAUCAUAAAAUUAAUUAUAAAAGAAAUUAAUAACGACACAAUAGUCUUUUUAGAUCAAACAAGGACCAAGUUUGCAACAAAAAUACAUCUCAAGGACCAUCAGAGUUAAGAAAAAAAUUUAUAAAAUAAACGCACAGAUUACCUCAAACCAUAAGGACGAUCCGUGUAAUUUACUCAUUCUUUUUUAUUAAUCAUGCAAGGAACCCAUUUUACUAUUAAGAUUAAGAUGGCCAGGAGUGGGCAACGACAGUUGCCGUUAUUCCAACGUGGACUAGCAAAAACGACGUUAUAACACCUGAAACACCGCACCCCACAUGCGUUAUUACGCGUUAUUGUGUUAACGCUUGAAAACGACAAUUUUUUCGAUACAAAUUCAACUCCAACGUAUACAUUUCGAUUUUGAACCGUUGUAAAACUGUCAAAAACANAAAAACAUAAUAAUAAUAAUAAUAAUAAUAAUAAUAAUAAUAAUAAUAAACAAAAUAAACUAAUGAACUUUAAUUUGGAAAUUUGGAAAUAAGAAAGUAAAUAUAUUAAUCAAAUUGAUAUUCAUUUAUUACUACAUUUAUUGUAAUUAUUAUAUUAAAGUAUUAUGUGGAAUUUAUUAAAAUAUAAAAACUCAUAAAAUGAAUAUGGAAAAGAAAUUAAUUCAAAAUAACCACAAAAUGACAUUUGUCAAAUUAAAUGAGAGUGUGACAUGUAGCAAAAACAUUCAUUUAUUAGAGUGUGUAUGUGUGUGUGUAUAUAUAUAUAUAUAUACAUCUACCUUUUUUUAUCUCAUAUCAAACCAUAUUUCAAAGCUUCAAAAAAUUUCUCUUUUGAAUACUAUUGAUCAAAACUCCAACACUCCUCAUCCAAACACAAAUACACCUCUGCCUCUCGAUUUUGCACAAUACGAAAUGUACGCGAACAUCCUCAACAUUCAAAGCAACUUUUCAAUCCCGCCUCACCCCCACCAGAAUUCCCUAAAAACCUUCCACAAACCUUUUCAACCCCAUUUGCUACAAUGCAACAAAAUACAGCACAAUCGCCACCCACCCAACAAACGGUACCCGAGACGCAAGCGAAGGGGGAGGGGGAGCAGAAAAAACGGCCCAAAAGAGAAGAGCACGAAGGAAAGGGAAAGUGGUUGUGGUUGAACAAUCAGAAGACGAACCUCCAACAUGGUGGACCGCGGAUGAGGAAUACGCGUUGGGGGUGGCUUGGUGCAGGAUAUAAAAAAAUCCAACGCAAGAAAACGAUAUGCAAAAAAUUACUUUUUGGGAAGCCGUGAUCGGGAAAUUUCAUACCAUUUUGAAUAAAUAUGAAAAGUACCGUAAUCACGACAUGUUGAGUAGCAAAUGGAAUCAAAUAAGCAAGAAGUGCACCAAUUUCAAUUCCGUCUGUAACAAACUUUUCCCCGCACAAGCAAAGUGGUGUGACCGAUUUUGACGUUUAUAGAGAGGAGAGGGAACAAUAUCAUGUUGAGACCGGUCACGUUUUUUAGCACAAAAAAAUUUGGGCGAUUGUCAAGGAAGACUCAAGUGAUGUUUCGGACGCACGUACGCACGAACAUCGACCUCAAUGCGGACACAGAUGGGAUACGGGGCGACUUGAACGACCUUGAAGAGAUCUCCCCGCCUCGACGACCGAUAGGCCGCGACAAAGCGAGGCGAGCUCAACGACACACGGAUGAAGCCGAACGUAGACGUCGAGAGCAAGCCAAAAUGAAAAAAAAAUGACGAUCACAACGAAAUCGCGCGUAAAGAUAUGAGUUGCAACUAGGGGUGAGCAUACCCAAACCAAGAAACCGACUAAAACCGACGAAACCGAAACCGAAGCAAAACCGACGGUUAGAGUUUAAAUUUUUUUAAAAACUGAAAAAUCGGGUUCGAUUUUGGUUUUUACCUAGAAACCGACCCAUCCAACUCGACAAACCGACCUAUACUUAAAACCGACAAACCGACCCAUACUUGAUUGUGUUUUGCUUGUAACAGACUAUUUCGGGCUUUGGUUGUAACUUGUAAUAAACUAUUUAUUGUAAGACUCAUGUUUUUUAAAGUAUUCAACUUAAAUUUGGUGUUUUAUGAAGUAUUUAAAUUGUUGCUUUCAUUUAUGGAAAAUGGGUUAAAACCCAAAACCCAUGGGUAUAAGCCCAUAACCCAUGAGUGUAUAGGUUGAACCCAAGAAACCGAAAAAACGUCCAAACCGACCUCAUAACUGAGAAAUCGAACCGACCAGAAACCGAUCGUAUUUGGUUCUAAAAACCAGAAACAUACCAUUUAUGAGUUGGGUUGGGUUUGAGUCCAAAACCGACCCAAACCGACCCAUGCACAACCCUAGUUGCAAUGGGAUCAUUUGAACUUCCUUCGUCGUGAAGCCGAGGAAGAUCGCAUUGCGAAAGAUUUGGCAAUGCUUUAAACUAGCGAGAAGAAUUUGUCACCGAGACGGUUGGAGGUACUCCGAAAAAUGAAGGCGAAGAUCGAGCAAGAAUAUUUAGUCGAAGAUUAGUGUUUUUUUUUCGUUGUAAUUUUUUUUUCAGUCAAUGUUUUUUUUCGUUAUAACAUUGUUUUUAUUUUUUUUCAUUGUAAUGUAGUUUUAAUUAGUAUUUAUUUUAAUUAUGUGUUAUUUAAUUUCUAUGUUUUUUAAAUUAUUAUGACAUCUACUAUAAUAAGUUAAUGUUUUUUGAUACAUGUCACAUUCUCAUUCAAUUUGCCAAAUGUCAUUUUGUGGUUAUUUUGAAUUAAUUUAUCUUCCAUAUGUCAUUUUAUAAGUUUUUCUAUUUUAAUAAAUUUCAUAUAAUACUUUAAUGUAAUAAUUACAAUAAAUGUAAUAAUAAAUGAAUAUUAAUUUUAUUAAUGGACUUAUCUUCUUAUUUCAAAAUUCCCAAAUUAAAGGUCAUUAAUUUAUUUUGUUUAUUUAUUUAAAUUUAAAAGAUAAAAAAAAUCAAUUUUAAUAAAUCAUUAUUUCUUAUUUUUUUAUAAAUCCAAAGUUCCUAAAUAUUUAGAAAUUUAUAUUUAAUUUUUUAAGUAACUCAUAUAAUACAUGAAUAUUACAUGUAGUAAAUUAAAAAAAUAAAACAACAUAGAAAAUGGAAAUUAUAAACAUUGAAAAAAAUAAAUAGAAAAUGUUAGGUGUUAUUACACUAAUAGUAUGAGUAUGAUGAUGAGGUAGAAACUUUGGGUAGAGUUGUUCCCUAUUUGGUUAAAACCGAAUUAUACAAUCAGACAAUUUGCAUUAGACUAUUUUGUUCGGAUAUUCAGAUUUUUGGAUUGAUUUUAAACUAAACCAAAUUAUUAUUUUUGGAUUUCGGAUUGGUUUUGGUUUAUAAAAUAAGAACCGAAUAGUCCAGAAAAACCGAACAACAACUUAUUAUUUAUUUUUACUAUAUAUCUUUAAUCAUUUAAAAAUUUACUAAAUUAUUUUUUAAUUAUUAGAAACUUUUAAUCAAGAUAGUACUUUAAUAUGUAAUUUUUAUCAAAAGUUUUUUGUUAAUAAAUAUUAAACUAUAACUAAUUUUCUUAAUACUUGUUUAUAAACUAUAAUUCAUAGCUAAAAAGUUUUAUUUAGUUAUUUUUAAAGAGUUAACUAAUAUUUAAAUUAUACAUUAUUUAAAAUAUUUUGCCUCUUAAAACCGAUCCAAUCAAAUUAUAAUUUGGUUGGAUCGGAUUGGAUUUGAAAUUAGUUUGAAUUAUUCAAAUCCAUAUAUUGAAAAACCUAAAUUGAUUUGAAUUUACUUCAUUGAAUGGAAUAGAAUGGAAUAAAACCUCUAUACACAAGAAACAACCUUAACUUUGAGUUUGAGUGUGAUAAAAUACUAGCAGCCCUAACGAUCCAAGCCCAACAAAAAAAUGCGAAGUCCGUAUAAAAUAAGAAAAAUUAGGUGAAAAUUUGGAGAUGAGGCGUAAUGUUGUUCUUUGCUCAAGCGAACGAGGCUCCGGCGAGGGUAAUAGGGUUUUCUGAGAGGAAUCCUUUCUUGCCUUUGCCAUUUGAUCCUGCGAUCAAGUAUGAGCCGAUGAUUUCGAUGUCGAUUCGCCACCCGAUAAUCUCUCUCAAACAUACACACAUACACAAACAUAUACAUAUACUUCACAUUUCUCCAUCCAUGUCUACGAAUGAUAAACAAAACUGAUCAUCAGCGUUGCGGCAUUCGCCUAGUAUAUAUAUAUUGUGUUAUUACUGUUGCUGUUGUUGCUAAUUUAUUCUUCCGAUGAGGCGGUGACGAUGAGAUGUAGAAUGAGCAAUAUCGGAAUUUGGUGACCUGAUCUGUAUCUUGGCUGGGCAAUCCGGAUGGCAUAUGUUGUUCAUUUGGAGAUUUCUCUUCGGAAAUCGAUAUGCAUUGCAACUGCGAUUGCAGCCACGACGGAUUUGGGCAAAAAAAAUUCGAUUACAACAGAUCUGAGCCUCCGUUCUACCCUCGCAUCAUGCGUUUUGGUCUAGGUACUUUACCAUUAUUAUUCGUUCCAUAUUUUUAACAAAUAUAUUGUCUUGUUACUCAAUCCUGAUUACCUGGAUGUCUAAUUGUUUGAACUCUGAAUUUAUGAACCCUGAUAUUCCGAACCAGGGUGACUGUUGGUUAAUAAUAUAUAUUAGUUAUAUGUUUAGUUUAAAAUCAAUAAAUUAUUUUCUCAAACCCGAUAGUAAUUCAACGAGUAUCAUGUUUCAAACGAGUAUUUAUAAGCUACGUUAUUGAAAUAUAAUAUUAUAAAUGCAUUGCAGUUACAAAUCUAAUAUUAAAUGUUCGUUCAAUUAUUAUAUAGGUGCUCCUAAAUAUAUAGAUAGAAAAAGUUGGUUAUCAUCUAUGUUUUCCUAAAUAUAUAGUUGAAAUGAUAUUCGAUUUAGUUACUAAUGAUUCUUUUAUUACCAUCUAUAUUUUCCUAAAUAUUUUGUGCUAUGUUUUGAAAAUUUUCAUAUAUUAAAAUUGGAUCAUCGAUAAUUGCAAUUGUUUUUGUCAAUUUGGAUGAUAUUAAAGUGCCAGAUAUAUUGUUAGGAUCAAUUUUGAUUUAAAAGUUAAUUUAUUAUUUUGUUGUAGGGUUUAGCAAUUAGGAUAUGUUUUCAAACACUUUCACACAAAUAAAAUUCACAACUUCUGUCCAACUUUGCUUAUUGUUACAUGAUUCGUUUCUUGGUUUCACCUUUUGGGUGUAAUCAAGAUGAUCAGAAGAGCAAGUGUCAUUGUUUGAUUCUCAGAGGCUAUAACAAUGAAUUUUGAUCUCAGACUUUGUUUAUCUGAUCUGUAUCUUGGCUGGGUAAUCCAGAUAGCAUGUGCUUGUUUUCUAGAAACUAUUUCUAUGAAUGUUACUUGCAACUGUGAAUCUGUGAUUGCAACCAUGGCAGAUUUUGAUGAUUCAAUUUCCCUAGAUUGUAACAGAUCUGAGCCUUGACUCAUCUACAAAGCCUAAUCUUGAUCAUUAGUCAAAGGCUAAUGCAACGAAUAGCAACAAUACUUUCAUUUAUUUGUUUAUUAUAGCAUCCUGCUUCUGUUUAUCUACUUUAAUAAAUGAAGGUUUUUUUAUCACUUGUCACACUCUCAUUCAAUUUGCCAAAUGUUAUUUUAUUAUUAAUUUGAAUUAAUUUUUUUUCACAUAUCAUUUUAUGGGUUUACCUAUUUUAAUAAAUUUCACAUGAUACUUUAAUGUAAUAAUUACAAUAAAUAUAGUAAUAAAUGAAUAUGAAUUUCAUUAAUGGAUUUACCUUCUUAUUUAAAAAAUUUCAAAUUAAAGCUCGAUAGUUUAUUUUGUUUAUUUAUUUAAAUUUAAAAGUUAAAAAAAAUUAAUUUUAAUAAUUCUUUAUUUUUCUUAUUUUUUUAUAAAUCCAAAGUUUUUAAAUAAUUAGACCUUUCUAUUAAAUUUUUUUAAUUAACCCAUGUAAUACAUUGGUCUUACACCUGGUUUCUAUUAGAACUUGGAAAAUCUAUCCAAUUAAAGCAAUGGUGGUAGUGGACUGGUGGUGAUGAUGAUGAUGACGACGACGAUGAUGAUGGUUAAGUUUAUGGAAAAUCUAUCCAAUUGAAGCAAUAUUAGUAAUAUUUUAAUGGAAAAGGCGAUGAUGAUGAUGAUGAUGAUGAUGGGUGUUAUUCUAAGCAAAUAUGAAGAGACACUGAAGAUUGGUUCUCUGUAUCUUGGCAGGGCAACUUCUUGAUGGCAAAGUGAGAAGUGACUUUGCAACUGUGUUUGUUUGCAGCCAUGGCAGAGUCCCCAUCUUCUUUGUCAUCAUUCCCUAAUUACAGAUCUGAGCCUAAGGAUUUUCCUGUUGCUAUUAUGGUUUUUGAAAAAAUAAAAUAAAAUUCAUGGAGUGAUUAUCAUUGAACUGUUUGAAUUUAAGUUAUUAGAAUUUUGUGAAGGGAAAAUAUUUAAUCAUAUCAUUUUUCUCUAACUUAAUUAUUCGAAUGGGGAAGAAUUGAGAGUUAUGGAAAAUGAAUAUAUAUCGGACAAUUUAAGUAUAUUUGUUUAAUUGCUUAGAGUUUUUGCUUGAAUAUAGGUUUGACAACUUUACAAACUGCAACGUCUCAAGUUAGUAUUAUAUCUGGCUUUUCAGUUAAAAAAAAAAGCUAAUUCAGUUUUUUACUUAUAAGACCAAACUAUACUUUAUAGACCUACUCCACAAGAUUUUUUUUCUUCUUUAAAUUGACAACAAAGAAAAGAAGUUUAUGACAUGGGAAAUUGAGUUGUUAUAACCCUGAUUUUUUUUUUUUAACUCUUUCAACCUUAGCACCAUGUGGAUAUGCUAUGAUAUAUUUAUGUGGUUUACUUUAUUCUUUUCAAGAGUUAAUGUGGAAUUUAUAAAAUGAAUAAUGCAUAUUCUACCAAAGAUUCUUCUUUUUGUGACCUUUUUACAAAUUAGUCAAACCUUUAAAAGCAAAAAAUCAUCAAAAAAAUUGGAUGGAACAUUGAUGGGUGGGUGGAUUUUGUGUUGGGUGUUGAAGAAAGCAAAGUAAUCGCAACAGAAAAUGGGUAAGCAUCAAGAAAUAGCAACCUACUUUGGAUUCAUUUCUUAAAAUACUUUAUCUUAGAAACAAUUGUUGUAGUUGGGCUUGCUUAAGCAUUCAUAAAUAACUUUCUAGAAAUAGAUAUAUGAUACAUGGAGAUCUAUCAUUGGUUUUCAUCAAACAUUUAUCGAUUAUGCAAUUCUUUUUUCCAUGUUUCAGAUUGGUCAAAAUUGAGGACAAAGGAAGUUUGCAACAAGUAAAAAAAUUGAAGUACAUUAGUAUUUUUGUAUCAUACACUAUGUGUUUGGAACUAAGAAAAAGUUAAGACAUUAUUCACUUUUAGAGUAGUGCAAUUCUAUGCAUUUUUUGUUGCUAAAAAGUAUGUUGUUACAAAGGGAAAAACAUGAAGCUAUUUUGUAUCCAUAUGCUUUUCUUUUAUAAAAAUGUCAACAAAAUUCCACACUACCCUUCCGCCCAAUGUGGAAGGCGGGAGACCCCCUAUUUGUUAUUAUUUAUAAAAAUUAUGAGUAUUAUUAUCUGUAAUAGAUUGUAAAUAAAGAAAACUGUUGUAGGGACUAGAUCUAAACAUAGAACCAAAGUAGAAUUAAAAAUACACUGGAUCUUAAAAAUAGAAUCAAGCAAAAUACUUUGGUAUGAACAUAUAACAAAAUUAUGUUUUGCUACUUGGACCAUAAAGUUGUGGAAGAUAGUGACCAUUUCCGUGUGAUUUUGGGAAACUUGGGAAGAUAUUACAUAAUGAAGAAAAAGUUGAUUGGGAAUGUAAAUUUGCAAGGGCGUUUUCUGUUUACUAGCUGAUAAUAACCGUAUCUAGUUUGAAUAAUGUAUUCGAUUCAAAAAAGAACGAAUGAUGAAGUUGAAAAUUAAACCAUUAUCAACAUUAAACCUCAAACUCGUAAUAAUAAUAAUAAUGUAAUAUUACCUCCGUUCCAAAUUGAUAGUCUACUUUUGAAUUUUGAAGUCUUUUUUUUUUUUUUCAACUUUGACUUUAAAUAAUUUUAUUUUUGAUAGAUAAUAAUUGAUGCAAAAUACAUGAAUGGAUUGUAUUUUAAAUGUUUUUUCAUUGUUAUAAGUUUCAUCAAGUAAUAUAUAACACAAAUAAAAAUAUUUAAGGUCAAAGUUAAAGAAAAAAUACUUAAAAAGUAAAAAAUGGACUAUCAAUUUGGGACGGAGAGAGUAUAUUAUAAGCAACCAUAAACAGAAAAAUGACAAAUUUGAUAUAGUUUGGUACAUGUAAGAAGCCGAGUAGCUUACUAGGAAAGGAAGAGACAAAGGUGGAUGGGUGAAUUACAAAAUGAUGUAAUUUACAACCAUUCUUCAAAAAAGAUGCAUAUAAACAUAUAACACAGGGACAAAAUGAUGUAAUUGACUUCAAAACACCACCCUUCAACCUUAACCCUCCAUUACAGCCAUAGUUUCUCUACUCUUAUCUCCACUAUACACAACUUAUACCAUCAGAAAACCACCAUUUACACUUAUAGCCUAAGUAUUGACCAAAUCCUAAACCUUUGCAUGAUCUGGUUGUGUUCAUGGAUAAUUCAAUUCCAAGCUCUUGCUCAUGUUGUGAUUUUCAGAAAAUCUCUCAAUGAAAGUGCAAAAUACAUCCAACAGCACUUGAGUCUGCAUAUCAAAUCAGACAUAAUAUACAUUCAUGUCACUUUUUCCUCUAGACUUUAGAUGAAGUUGCAUAAUAUGAAAUAAAAAGGAAAGUUGAAAAAAUCUCGUCUCAAUAUGCUGUUCUUCCAAUAUUCCCAAGUGUUUGCCCACUACCUGUGAAAAAAUUUACAAUCUUUAAUCUAACAUCCUAUUUACAGAUAAAUUAAUCUUGUUGUAAAUGGUAUGGUCUUUUAACAAGCUAUUUACAUAUGAAAGAAAAUGCAAACCUUAAGUUCAUGAAGAUCAAAUUUGUCAGCAACAAAAUACAUCUCCAUCUUCAUUGAUCAUCAAUUUUGUCAUCUCAAUCCUUCACCCAGCCGAUUGCAAAAAUGAACAAGAAUCAAACGAGAUAAAGAAAAUGAGACCGAAGUUGAAUGCAUACCUGGAAUCAAGAGUUGGAGAAGAAAGCCCCCACUUGCAAAAAUUAAAGGAAAAAAGAAUUAACUUAACAUCAGAGGGAGAUUGGGAGUUCAUGGCUUUGUGAUUGAAACCAAAGACUGAAGAAAAAACCCAUCAUAUGAGGAAGACGACACAUUGGCACAGGAAGGCAUUAGCGGAGGUGGAUGGAGGAGAUGUCAAAGGAAGGAGGCUGCAGGCUAGAAGGGUCGAUGGAGGAAGAGAGCGUUUGUGAUGUCGUUCACGAUGGGGGCGUUCAAGGGCAAACUAAGAGAUUUUCAGUCAGUCCAUUUUUUACUUAAGACCGAGUCAGACAAAUUUCUAUGACCGAAUCAGAGGAUUGGAUUGGGUCAGACGUGUUUAGCCUUUUAUCAAACCGGCUGCCUGGACUGAGUCAGCCAAAACUACUGACUGGACCCAGUCAGAUGCAUAUCAAACAUGCAUAUCAAACAGGCCCCAAGUCGGUUUAGUUGGUUUUCGAAUUACUCGGCGUGGUUUUUAAAAUAUUUAAAUAAUUAUAACCAAACAAAAUAAUUUUAUUAAAUUGGUUUUAGUUUUUUAAAUAUCUAAACUUUAUAAGUUUUAACCACAAAAAUAAACACAAACUACAUGGGAAUUUAAAAAAGUAGAUGCAUGAAAGGUAAACAAAACUUAAGUAAAAAAAACAAUCGGUAAAACUAGUAGUAAAACUAAUAAUGUUUUUUUUCUUUAAAAAAGUUAUAAUAUUUGGAACUAGUUUACAAAAUAGUCUCAAAUUAAUAUUUUUUUUAUAAAAAAAUCGGUAAAAAGUUGCAUUAUGACUAUUUUCUUCUGGUUACAGCCCAAUAACAAAUUAAUUUGAGAUUAUUUUGUAAACUGACCUAAAAUAUUAGGAUUUUUCUACAAAAGACAUUAAUAAUAAUAAUAAUAGAUUGUAAAGAAAAAAAGACAAAAAAAAAAAGUUAAAUCCACUUUUUAUGUGAUUAAUGUUAAGGAACAAGCCAAAAUCAUUGUUUUGGACCUGAAGCAAAAAGCAAAAAAUAAAAUGGGAGGUGGAGGGAGAGGAAAACACAUGUUUUUUUUCAUGGUUAUGUGAACAACAGAAACCGAAAAAAUUACAUCCAUGGGAUUAUGACAAACGGAGUCUGGAUUACCGAUCCAUCUGAGAUUAAGCAGGAGGCUGCUAAAUUCUUUGAAAAGAAAUAUAAAGAAUGUUGGCAAUACAGACCUUUGUUUCGGAGCUCUGACUUCCGUAAGCUAUCCGAAAUAGAUACUCAGUUCUAAGAAGAUGAAUUUUUCCAUUGGUGAAAUAAAAAAUGUUGUGUGGUCGUGUGGCAGCGACAAGUCUCCGGGGCCUGACGGUUUCACUUUUAAAUUUCUCAAAAAAUAUCGGGAAUUGCUCAAAGAAGAUAUAAUGGGGUUGGUUAAAUACUUUGAAACGGGUGGUAAAUCACUAGAGGCUCUAAUUCUUCGUUUAUAUCCCUAGCUGCAAAGACUAAAGAUCCAAUUCACUUUGGGGAUUAUAGACCGAUAAGCCUGAUUGGGUCUACAUACAAGAUCAUUGCAAAACUACUAGCCCUUCGAUUAAAGAAUGUCAUUGGCAGUGUAAUUGACGAGGUUCAAUCCGCGUAUGUUGUGGGAAAAAAUGUUCUUGAGGGCCCUUUGGUGAUUAAUGAGUUUUGCUCUUGGGAAAAAUCAAAAGGAAGGAAGAUGCUCCUUUUUAAAGAGGACUUUAACAAAGCUUUUGACUCUGUAAAUUGGGUUUAUCUGGACUCAAUUAUGGAGCAAAUGGGCUUUGGAAGUAAAUAGAGAUAUUAAAUUAGUAAUUGUUUGGAAUUGGGUAGAGCGCCGAUGAUUAUUAAUGGAAGCCCAACAAAUAAAUUCUCUAUGGAGAAAGGAGUGAGACAAGGCGACCCGCUCUCUCCCUUUUUAUUCAUCAUUGCAAUGGAAGUGUUGAAUAUGGCGAUGAAGACAACGGUUGAAAAAGGAGUUUUUGACGGAAUAAAAUUCCCAAACUCUAACAUUUGUUUGUCUCAUCUAUUCUAUGCAAAUGAUGCUUUAUUCAUUGGAGAAUGGACGAGACGUAACAUCGCUAACUUAGCGAGGAUUUUGAGAUGUUUUUAUGCUGCGUCAAGGUUGAAAGUUAACUUUAGUCAAUCUAAAGUAUUUGGUGUUGGAGCAUCUCCUAGUGAAGUAUCUAACUGGGCUCCUCCUUUGAGUUGUGAAUCAUCAUCCCUCCCAUUCACUUACUUAGGCAUUCCUGUGGGUGAAAACAUGACUUGAAGAACGCAUGGUGGCCGAUUAUUGAAAAGUUUAAUGCCAAACUCUCAUUGUGGAAAGCGAAAACAUUUAGCUCCGGAGGUAGAUUAACAUUAGCAAAGGUGGUACUUGGUAAUAUUCCUACCUUCUUUAUGUCCAUCUUUGCCGUCCCAAACGGUGUCAUCGAGACCGUAGAGAAAAUCAGAAGAAGAUUUAUACGGUGUAAUAAAUUGGAGAAGAAAAGUAUCAAUUGGGUUGCUUGGGAAACACUAAUUGCCCCAAAAAGAUGGGUGGCACAGGGCUUGGAUCUAUCAAGAGUCUGAACAUUUCCCUAUUAGCUAAGUGGAGGUGGCGAUUGAAAAAUGAAAAAUCUACACUUUGGGCAAAAGUUAUAAGAUGUAUUCAUGGAUUGGAUGAAAGAUAGUUGUCUAUUUUUUCCAACAGAUCUAGAACGGGUGUUUGGAAGAAUAUAACCAAAAUCAUGCCUUGGUUAAAGAAUCUUAACAUCGAUCCCAAUGGAAUUGUGCAUUGGAAAUCAACGGAAAGUAGUUGGGUCUCCGACUUCGUGAUCGACAAUCAGUUCUCUGUGAGAUUGUUACGAGAACGGAUUGAAAGUGCAAGUCAUGUGGUCUGUGAUGGACCGUUCGAUUUGUGUAAAGUGGUACCAACUAAGAUCUUAUGUUUUAUCUGGAGAGCGAAGUUCGGAAGAAUCCAAUCACCAGUUUCGUUAAAAUCAAGAGGUGUCCCAGUUCUAUCGACGGUGUGUGUUUCAUGCAACUCGGACGAGGAGACAUGUGAUCACAUCCUUCUAUUAUGCCCAGUGGCAAAAGUCGUCAUGAAUUUGAUUUUAUCUUGGUGUGAAAUCUCAUAUGAUGGAUUCAAAUCGGUGAAGGAUAUGUUACCUUUCAUAUCUCGGUGGUCUAAGUGCAAAAAGAAAAAAAGUAUGCUAUAUGAGAGCUUGUGUAGAUGAUUGUGGUGUGUAUGGAAGGAAAAAAAUAAAAGGGUUUUCAAAAACAUUCCCUUUAUACCGGUGAAUAUAAUGAAGAAGAUAAAAUCAACAACUUUCAUUUGGUGCAAGCAUAGAGGUUCUUUUCGAAACAUGGAUUAGAGAGUUUGGAAUCUUGGUCAUUUUCUUUGUUUGUAAUUUUCUUGUUUGUUUUGAUUUUUCUUUUUCUUUAUUUUUUGUACUUUUCUCCUUGCAUCGUCUUGAUGUGAGAUGUUUUUAAUAUAUUUGUCGUUUAAAAAAAAAGUUUAAUAGUAAACCUUUAUACUAAUCUAAUAUAUUAGUUUAAUAGUAAGACUAACUUGUUUGUUAGAAGAGGUUAUAGGUCUUUUCUCAAGUUAUUUACUUUCAUUAUCUUUUAAUUAAAUUGGUGUUUUUUAUAGAAAAAAAAAAUGUGAACGUGACAUGGUGCAUAAACAUUCAUCAAAUGACCAUAAAAGAGCUAAAAUCAAAAAUUAUAUCAGUCUUGGGGUUUUGAUUGAAAUUCUUUUUGUUUUCAGGGAUUUUAGAAUAAGUUUCUAAAAUAAUAAAUAUUUUAUUAAAUUUUUAAAGGAAAAAUCAAUUACGUUCCUUUAAUUCAUUAAUUAGGAGUUAUAGCCAUUAUGUUAAUCAUUUAUAAAAAAACAUAAAACUAUAAGUUAGACCCUGUUUGAUACUCGUCGUCUGAUUGAGUCAAAUCAGACAUUUUUGGCUGAUUCGGUCAGCUAUAGCUGUUUGAUAACCCUUCUGACUGAGAAAUUGAGGUCUGGCCCGGUAAGAGAGAAGGAAUCGGCUUACUCAGAAAGGAAGACAUCUAAUUUCACUUGUGCCCUUGCGUGUGUAUCCCUGUAAGAAUCGAUCCAACACCCCUUUUGCAUCUCAUUCGUAAUAGGCUCACAUAAUCGAUCAUUCAACACCCCCUUUGCUUUCUUAAAAUCAAUCACAGAAUCGAUGGACUGCCCCUUUUGCAGGUAUGUUUCCCCUUCUCUUUUGCGUUUAUAUCUCCAACAGUAAUAAGAAAUUAAUCAUCUAAAAUCACUUCCAUUCAUCUUCUCGCAAUCAAUCAACCAUCUGAAAUCAGAUCAGAAUCCAUAUGCUCCUAUGUUCUCAUUUUUCUUUUGUAUAUGCUGGUUGAGUAAGGAAGAAAGAAAAAAAGACAUUGAUUUUCUCUUGGGGUAAUUUCCUCUCUCUAUGCUGCUUCUAUCCUAAUCUCUCUAAUUUUGCUGCAGGAGUGGUGCUAUGUACAUUUAAAACACUCAAUGGAUACACUUGGAUUUUUUUUACUACAAUAGAAAGGUGUGCUAUACUCAAGACUAGAUGCUCCCUUUGUUAUUAUUAAGCCCUUGAGAUAUAUCAUUAUUUGUAAAUGGCAAGGAUGUGUUGUUGGUAGUUUAAAGUGGCUAUAAUUGAUGUUUCUUUCACAAGGAUGCUGGUAAUUCUCUUGCUUUGGACAAUUUUGCCCUUACCCAAGUUUUAUCCAGAAAGGCCUUUUGCUCCCAUGUUUAGUAUAGAGUUUGGUUAUAUUAGUUUGAUGUGGUCAUGAUGUUGAAUCUGGGUUUUAUUUGUCUGUUUGUUUUUUUAUACUCCUUUGAGUUAUUGCUCAAUGAAACCAAUCCACCAAAUAGAAUAUGUAUGUGUUUUGAUUUGGUCACAUAAUGAAUCAUAUGAUAAAAUUUUGUUUAUUUUAGCUAUUUUUUUUAGUUUACAUAUCAGUUACAGUUAAAAAUUUUGAAUGAUGGUAUUUGUUCCUUAAUUGUAAGCUAAACACUCAAAACCAACAAGCUUAAAUAUUCGAUUGUCAUAAUAAGUUGGAUUAGGUUUAUGCUUCAGUUUUCACUUCCAUAAGUUCUACUUCUGAUACAGAAAACAAUCUUCUAAUUCUACAUUGUAAACUUUCACAUUUCUUGGUUAAUUGGCGGUCAACUGAUAAUGCUUCAUUUUUCACUUCCAAGGAUGGCAUCAAAGCUUUGGAAUCAGCCAUUCCAUCUUUUGGUGAUUCCGUUUGUAAGGGUGUAAUUUCUUGAUUCUUAUCAACAUGGUUUAAAGGGCAUUUCAGCUAUGAGGAUUAGGAGGACAUUUACGUCUUUUUCAUAGACGAGAGAUCGAGAGAUCAAAAAUUGCAAUUUUGUUCCGGCCCCAGUCCCAGGCAGUACACGUGGUUCUAUCAUGUCCUGUCUUUGCAUAACAAACAAGGCCUUAAAGCAUUAGUAGACAAAAAGAUUUGUUAGUAAGUUCAUAAUCUUUCUUUAAAUGAAUAGAUUGAUUAGAUAUUUUUUAUUAUGCUGGAAGUUUUAUUAUUAUUAUUAUUAUUAUUAUUAUUAUUAUUAUAAAGAGUACAAGAGUAAAAUGGUCGCAUCAGUCAGAUGUACAAUCAAACAAUAUGACUUCUUUUUCAGUCAAAAUUUAUUACUCAGACAGGUAUUUUCCACUCAGUACUUUCUCAGUCAACAACUAUCAAACGGCUCCUUAAUCUCUUGAAAACUAAACACCACUAAUGCAUUGUUUUACCAAUGUUUUAAAAACCAGUUUUUUAGUUGAACCGGUAUGGUGACCGGUUCUCCGUUCAACCGGUUCAACCGUCAGGUAAACCGGUUUCUAUAAUUUUUUUUUUUAUUUUCCUAUACAUAUAUACAUAUAAAAAUGAUGAUUUGACGUUUACAAGUUCAAACAUUAAAAAUAUACAUAAAAUUAAGUUGUAAAUCAAUCCAAAUACAUUAAAAUAACACAUAACCAGAAGUUUUAGUGUUUUACAUCAAUUCAUAUACGUCGAAAAGAAAAUAAAGUAUAAUACCGAAAUAAAGUAUAGUUUUAAAUGAAUAGAGAACACAUCAAAAAAUGUUAUAACAUAUACCAUAUGUUUUUAUUUAGAGCAAACAAAAUAGAUUUUAAAAAAAUCACCAAAGUUUAUUAAGCAAAUGGUUUUUUUCCAGAUGUUUUUAUUCGGUUAUUUUGAUCGAUUCAAUCGGAUUUUUCUAAAACCGGCCGGUUCAAUCCGGUUCAGAAAUCGACGUAAAACCGAUAAUAAUUGAACCGCUCUCUCCCCGAUUCCCGGUCUAACCGGUUCGACCGGCCGGGUUAUAACCGGUUUUUAAAACAUUGUGUUUUACAGAAAUUCGUGGCCAAACUGUGAAACUCGUAAAUAAGAUAUGUAUUGACAAAUAUACCCUCCAGCCCUACGCAAGCCACACUUUUCUUUCUAAAUAUCCGAAGGACAUAAAUGGGAAUCGCUAUGACUAUAAAUACCAGCUGUCGAACGCAGACACACCAGAAUUGGGGAUCUGAAGAUGAUGCUCGGAAAAACAAAGGAGGCUCCGGCGAGAGAGACGGGAGGUUUUCAAAGGGUGGUUGCCCCUCUCUUGCCAACUCAUAAUCGGAUAUGAUCCGAUCAUGUUGAGCCGGUGAAUUUGUCCCCAUUUUCGUCAAAAAUCAACAGCCCUUGAAACAAAUGAAAAAGGAAAUAUAUAUACUACUCUGUCUCUCUGUAUCUAUAUAUCUGUGUAUAUGUGUUUGUGUGUGUGUGUUUAUCUGCAAUUACAAUGAUAUUUGAUGAUGGCGAUGAUAUUUGAUUUCUGUAUGGAUUGUUAUCCGAGCAUCAUGGAUCGAACACAGGGUGAAAUUCGGCCCGUAUCUUGGCGGGGCAACCCGGAUGGUAUGUUAAGAGGAGGAAGUGUUUUUUGGUCUUCUUUCUCUUCCCGUGCAAUCGGUGUUGCAGCCAUGGCGGUGUCCUACCCCUGUGUUUGACUUUAAAUUACAGAUCUGAGCCUCAUUGUAUUCGCUUGAAGUUUCAAAUACUUUAAACUGUUGAUUUGUAUUAAUUUGUUGUUUUCCAACUGUUUUUCAUCUAAUAUUAUUUUGGGGCAUGAUAUGUUCAUGCCACUAAAAUUUAAUAAAAGAAAUAAUUUGGGUAUAGUGUGAUUAAAAAAUAUAUGAACUUUUGCUUUUGGUUAUUUUAGACUGGGUCUCUAGUUGGUAUCGAAAUAAUGAAAUUGUCCGGUAUUUUUUUUCUGCCGAAGGACAACAACUACAAUUUGAAUGUUGGAGGAGGAUUUCAAAGGAAUUGACCGUUUGAAAACGGUUACUUCUUCAAAUAUAUAAAAAGAAUUAUAUAUUAAUUUUACAUAUAAAUACAUACAUAUAUCUCAUUUAUUUUACCUAUACACAUUUUCUAUUAUGUCACAAGCCGUAUCAUUGUCUUUUCUUGCCAAGCCGGGACCAAAACUCUGGGUCUUACAGACAAGUGUCAGGAGCCACCUCCUGGUCUUCUAUACAAG
rnacentral:lncRNA from 1 species